GCUUACGGCCAUACCACCCUGAGCACGCCCGAACUCAUCUGAUCUCGGAAGCUAAGCAGUGUUCGGCCUGGUUAGUACUUGGAUGGGAGACUGCCUAGGAAUACCAGGUGCUGUAAGCU
rnacentral:rRNA from 1 species